GCUCUUUCCCUGAUUCUUUAACCAUACACCUGUGAACUUGGGGAGACUCUUAAUUGAGACUCUCCUUAUUAUUAACAAACUCUUUAAUAAAAUAUUGAACGUGAUUGUGCCGAAAGGCCUUAAUUUUAUAAACAACUUUUAACAACGGAUCUCUUGGCUCUCGCAUCGAUGAAGAACGCAGCGAAAUGCGAUAAGUAAUGUGAAUUGCAGAAUUCAGUGAAUCAUCGAAUCUUUGAACGCACCUUGCGCUCUUUGGUAUUCCGAGGAGCACACCUGUUCGAGUGUCGUGAAUAUCUCAAACCAAAUAGUUUUUAUUAACUGUUUGGAUUGGUUUUGGACUUUGUCGUCUCUUCAACGAACGACUGGUCUUAAAAGUAUUAGCUGGUCUCAGAUUGGGAAUGGUUUGACUUGGCGUGAUAAUAACUGAUCGUCGAGGACAUCUUUCGGGAUGGCCAUUAACUAACUAAGUCCGCUUCUAAUCGUCUUUUUUAGACAAAUUUUCAACUUUGACCUCGAAUCAGGUGGGACUACCCGCUGAACUUAAGCAUAUCAAUAAGCGGAGGAAAAGAAACUAACAAGGAUUCCCCUAGUAACGGCGAGUGAAGCGGGAUGAGCUCAAAUUUAAAAUCUGGCAGUCUUCGAUUGUCCGAGUUGUAAUCUAGAGAAG
rnacentral:rRNA from 1 species